GACGAACGCUGGCGGCGUGCCUAAUACAUGCAAGUAGAACGCUGGAGGAGGAGCUUGCUUCUCUGGAUGAGUUGCGAACGGGUGAGUAACGCGUAGGUAACCUGCCUGGUAGCGGGGGAUAACUAUUGGAAACGAUAGCUAAUACCGCAUAAUAUUGACUAUUGCAUGAUAGUCAGUUGAAAGGUGCAACUGCACCACUACCAGAUGGACCUGCGUUGUAUUAGCUAGUUGGUGGGGUAACGGCUCACCAAGGCGACGAUACAUAGCCGACCUGAGAGGGUGAUCGGCCACACUGGGACUGAGACACGGCCCAGACUCCUACGGGAGGCAGCAGUAGGGAAUCUUCGGCAAUAGACGGAAGUCUGACCGAGCAACGCCGCGUGAGUGAAGAAGGUUUUCGGAUCGUAAAGCUCUGUUGUAAGAGAAGAACGAGUGUGAGAGUGGAAAGCUCACACUGUGACGGUAUCUUACCAGAAAGGGACGGCUAACUACGUG
rnacentral:rRNA from 1 species